rnacentral:lncRNA from 1 species
GCAAGACUGACGACGGAGUAAGCGGAAGUUGUGGCAUGGACAACAACGACCUUGAAAGGUGAAUUGGAGCCCGGAGGGGGAGUGAAGAAGUGAUCAAAUGUCCACUCCAAAGCGUAUGUACUGUGCUGGCUAUCAUCGAUCCCAACAACCAUCACUUGCUCCUCUUCUAAGGCUGCCAUUUUUUAUACUGCUAUUUGCCCGUCCGUCCCUCUUCUCUGUUUAUAUCGAGAAUUAAGUUGCAGACCUAUAGUUGACUUCUCUUGGAUUGGUGAGUAAUGGCAACCUUCAGAAAAUCCCAAGCAGAGACGAUUACUAUGAGUAUUUAAAUAAAUGGACUCGAGCCAAGACAAAACCAUGAUUGGAACGGGUGACCAUCCAAUCCCUGAAGCCGGAUCAAUCGAGGAGACGAUGUCGUUUGAAAUACGCAACGACCAACGGAGAUAUUAUCCAAUAAUUGAGGUUGAAGGACUCGGCGGGGAGAUACCAAAGAUUUUUGCCAUUAACGUGAGAGAUUGCUAUUAAUAAAACUCGAAUAAGUCGAAGAUUCAACCAAUCUCGGUGUGAGUCAAUGUAUUUAUUCACUCGAAUAAUGAACAAACCUUUAAAAUGUUG